AAAGUAAAAUUUCGUGGAGGUCCGAACCCACGAGCGUUGAAAAGCUCGGGGAUGACUUGUGGGUAGCGGUGAAAUUCCAAUCGAGCCCGGAGAUAGCUGGGUCUCCCCGAAAUAGCUUUAGGGCUAGCCUCAAGGUGAGAGAUACGGAGGAAGAGCACUGAAUGUCCUAGGGGGUAUUGCACCUACCGAAGACUAUCAAACUCCGAAUGCCG
rnacentral:rRNA from 1 species